rnacentral:tRNA from 3 species
GCCCAGAUGGCGGAAUUUGGUAGACGCACUACCUUGAGGUGGUAGCGGCCGCAAGGCCUUGGGAGUUCGAGUCUCCCUCUGGGCACCA